AACCGUCGGAAGAUCGUCAAUCGUAGGUGUUUUCUCACACUGUGGCCGAUUUUUGUUUUCUGUUUGAUUGUCAUCUUGGAUAUUUUCUGAUAUGUAAAGUCUGGUGCCAUUGCUGAGCUGUAGAGCUGGGCCUGUUUUUACACAAUAAUA